UGACUGUGACUUUAGUACAUAGCUGGGCAAAACGCUACUCGCGAGUAGCGUCUGCGUCGCAGCGCUUAUACGUAUACAGAAACGACGCAGCGAAUUUCAAUUCAGUCUGCUUUCAGAUUUCAUGAGAGUAACACUAUGCUUCGCCGUUGAAUAUUUUUAUUCGUAAUUUUAGCGCGUGGUUGCCACCUAUAUAUGUAACAAUGCCCAAAAUGUCUGAGUAUGAGUGCCAAUUACAGUUUCUGGUUUUAAAAAAAGCUAAUAAAGCCCAAUGCUUGUUGUGUGGUAAUACGACCAUUAACCAUAAACAAAUGAAAAAAACGCUCCACUCAGUGCAAUUAUAGAAAAGUGCUUCUCAGCGCGACGCACUAGGG